rnacentral:rRNA from 1 species
UACGGGAGGCAGCAGUGGGGAAUUUUCCGCAAUGGGCGAAAGCCUGACGGAGCAAUACCGCGUGGGGGAGGAAGGUUCUUGGAUUGUCAACCCCUUUUCUCAGGGAAGAACGCAAUGACGGUACCUGAGGAAAAAGCAUCGGCUAACUCCGUGCCAGCAGCCGCGGUAAUACGGGGGAUGCAAGCGUUAUCCGGAAUGAUUGGGCGUAAAGAGUCCGUAGGUAGUCAUCCAAGUCUGCUGUUAAAGAGCGAGGCUUAACCUCGUAAAGGCAGUGGAAACUGGAAGACUAGAGUGUAGUAGGGGCAGAGGGAAUUCCUGGUGUAGCGGUGAAAUGCGUAGAGAUCAGGAAGAACACCGGUGGCGAAGGCGCUCUGCUGGGCUAUAACUGACACUGAGGGACGAAAGCUAGGGGAGCGAAUGGGAUUAGAUACCCCAGUAGUCCUAGCGGUAAACGAUGGAAACUAGGUGUGGCCUGUAUCGACCCGGGCCGUGCCGAAGCAAACGCGUUA